UUACUUCCACCAUUGUAUCAAAAUUUCAUGGAAUAUAAACAUAAUUUUCUUUACAUUUUUUUCACUGUUUUCGUUUAUUGAAAUUAACUGUCUGGGGUGUGUUUUGUAUUUUCGCUUAUUUUCUCCAUAUUGUAUUCUUGUUUGUUUAUUCAUUUAGUGAAAAGUCGAAGCCUCCUUUGUCCAUGAUUUUUUAUCCUAUUCGGAGGAGUUUUCCACGUAAAAUUUGUAUUCAACCUUCUCUACAUUUUUUAUUUCGUUGUUUAUACAGGUCAAUCCCAACUGUAAAUGGGCCAAUUUACUCGGGCCCACGUCAGAACCAAAAUCCAAAAUAAAAACAAAUAAUAAAAAGUCCAUUGAAUGUCCAAGUCUAGUUUACAGGUAAAGGCCCAAACAAGUCUAGACCCAAGAAUUUAUGGCCCAGAGGCCUGAAAAAUUAAAACCCUAACAGAAACCCUAAGGACUUCUCCCACUUUGCGCCGCAGCAGUCCCAGCCUCCAUGUGCCUUCAACACCGUACGACCACGUCCGCGCCUCCGUACGCCUCACACCAAGGGUUAGCGCAUGCCCCACACUCCGUACCUGCAAACAAAUAGGACGAACGCACAGCAAAAAGAAACAUAAACAAAGAAUAUUGUAUUUUUCUUUAUUUUAUUGCUAUCAUUUAUAGCCGAAGGGAUUCGAUCAUUGUAAUUUUUUACGCGAUAUACACAUACAAAAACAUGCAAUAGAAGGCAAAAAAACAGAGAACGGUGAUUUUUUGGCUUUCGAUUUCUAUACUCCUUUUUUUUUCUUUCUUUUAAUGGUACUUAUUAAAAUCCUUCAUCAGUGCAUUUAGAAAAAUAAAAAAGGAAAAGGGAGGGGGCUUACCUUCGCAUACAAGCCAUCGGAGACCAUCUCUUCUUCGUUGAAAUCGAAGAUCGAAAUAGAUUCUCGGGGCUAAAAGAAAAAAUGACCUUCUGAGGCGAGGUUCAAAGAAGGAAAAGGGAGCGAUUCCGUGGCGAGCUACCUUCCAUCGGUUUCAAUGGUGGGACGGUGGCAGUUGAAAGGGCAAGAGAGGUUGGAAAAGCCACAAAGUUGCGGCGCCGAAACCCUAGCAAAUGGGUGUUCGGUUUUGUGGCUUGUAAAAUGGCUGAUUGCCAUUCUUUUUUUUUUUGAGAAUAAAAUGAAACGGCGCCUUUUUAAGGGGAAGGGUUCGCGCGUCAACCCGUUCCAGGACCCGAACCAGUGCCUUUGCGCUGAAAAUGGGUCAUUUGCAAUCUAAGUCCCUCCCCUUUCGCGCCGCAUUUAAAGCAGCUUAUAUUUGUGUUUCCUUUGUUUUUAAAUUUUCCCUGCAAUUUGUGCGCGUUUGCAUUUUAGUCCGUGUUUGUGUGCUGCGUUUUGAGGGCCUGGAAUAUUUCCAGCUUGAGUCCCUACAAAAUCGCGCGCAUUACAUAUUGGCCCUAUAAACUAUUUCAUUUGUAAAUUAUCCUUAUUAUUUUAAUUUGAUUUCAAUUAGUUUUUUUUUCUUAUUCG
rnacentral:lncRNA from 1 species